AAUUUUGAGCAGUCGCGGUUCAGUCUGUUAGAUUGAGCUGAGGAAAGUCCACGCACGCACAAGCUGCGAUGCUUGUAGUGAUCGUAUUUAGUCUAACAAACUAAAGGAUUUAUAUCACGGCGAAAAAAAUGCUAAGUUUUUUAAAAUAUGCAUGAAUAUUCUGAAAAGUGCCACAGUGACGAAGCGGUAAUGGAAACGUUAUCGGUGGAACGAGGUAAACCCUGCGAGCGUGCAACCCAAACUUGGUGGGGGCGUCUAAACCUAAGAAAAUGAACUAAAGGUUAGAUUGUUAUUUUUAAUAGCAAAGAUAGAUGGCUGCUAAAGGUGAUUUUGCCAAAAUCAUUUGAACAGAACGUGGCUUAUAAAA
rnacentral:RNase_P_RNA from 1 species